GCCCCGGCCGGGGGGGAGGGGGGCGGCGCCGCGGCGGGGGGCGCUGGGCGGGUCCGCACCGCCCCGGGGGGCGCCGGGGGGGCGGGCAGGUCUGGGCGGCCCGGGGGGGCGGCGCGGGGGAGCGACGCGCCCCGCGAAGCGCGACGAGGCCGGGUGGGAGCCGAGGUCACAGGCGGCGGGGCCGAGCCGCGCAGCCCCGGCGGCGGCGUGCCGCGAGCUGGCGCGGGCGGAGGCGGCGAGGGCACAUCAGCGAGUCGACCGAGGCCUGGUCCCGCACGGCGUUGGCACCAUCCCGCGACGACGACGGAGCAUCUUGCAGUGCGCCCACUGCGCGUGGAGGCCGCCGGACAUGCCGGAGGCCUCGGGGUCUGGUUGCGCCGCUCGGCUGGGGGCUGCGAACCUCUGCCGUGCCCCAGGGACGCGGGACUGCAGCGUUCGUUGUUUGUGGGGCACUGUCUUCAAACGGUGCUUUAAAACCUAAAAAUAUAUGAAAUGAUGACUUAGCAGCUCCGGUUACUUUGCAGAGGCACCUGACGUUUCUGUGCAGAGCCGUCCAUUAUACUGUUCGUGCAAAACAGAAUGCUACCUUCCUUUUUUUUCCUCUAGCAUAUAUAAAAGCACAGACUGCAUCAGACACUGGAGAGCUGCAUGGAGAUUUUACUUUGCAAAUGGAACAGCAUGCUAACAGCAUGCUAACAGCAUAAAGGAUGAAAGUCUUUGAAGAGCUCUUUUGAGGAUAGAAAUCAGCCCAUGAACUCCUUCAGGCUGCAGUCUUAUUCAUUGUUAUUUCCGAGAUUUUUUUCACACACUCACCAAGAUAAAUUCCAAUUUAAAAACAGUCCCAGUGAGCUGGUAUGUAUUAUAUAGGUAUGUAGCACAGCUACAGUUAGUGUACUUUUUAUACCUCAACAUUAUACAAAAAUGCUACAGAACAAAUACCUAUACAUCGGAGGUUAAAUUUUGUCCCUGCUAAACAGGGAAAUAUGCCACAAAGCCAGUUAGCACCCUCAGCUAAACUUUGCUUUUAACUUGUGCGUGCAAUAAAUGGUUUCUGUGGAUCGCAGAUGAGGUAAGCUUUUGGGGCACUGCUGCUUAUAUAAUGCCUUGCCUGUGAGCAGAAGAUUUUCAUCUCUAGCUCUGCCAAGCUAGCACGUAAAUAACAAAAGAAUAAAUUAUAGCAGUGUUGUAAGGAAAAUUAUUGAUACCACUGUAUUACCUAGAGCAAUGCCAUAUUUUACAUACAACUGAGAGUGGUUUCUAAGAAGACAUAGCUUUAGAACAGAAAAUAUUUGUUGUCCUUUCUAUCGGUAUAUUUGGGUGUUACUAUCUUACAUAUACACUGGCCUUUUGAUCUUAAAGCAUAAAAGCUGAUAUGGCUGAAUGUAUGUACUGCUAGUGAUUACUGGUGCCCUAGUGCAAGUAAUUCAGUUAAUUGUCAUUAAUCUGAAUAUGCCAACUCAAAUAACAGUCCUUGAAAAUUAUCCAAAUUUCUCCUGAGGCUUUUCUUGUGUCUUUAAAAAACCUUACUCUCGCCCCUUUGCCUCUGGGAUCUAUAUGCAUGUCUUAGUUAAAGGUUAUUUUUUUCCCAUAUACUUACCAUUUUUUUGUUUUGAGAAAAAAAAAUUAUCAGACAUCUAUGGUAAUAAUGAAAGGAGACUUACCAAAAAUAUUAAGUAGGUAUGAACCAGACCUUAGACUGCAUCUUUAAAACUUCUGAGAAUUUAGUGCAGGAAAACAGUGGUUCAACAUUUAUUGUUUAUACUUAAUGUAAUUACAUUAAACAGUGGCUAAUACUAGAUCCCAGCUUACCACUGACUUCUGUCAUACUUAGCUGAAAAACCUCAUGAGUAUGCUGCAGGUAUGGUCUCUAGUGAGAUACAUCAAUCUAAACGCUUUAUUUUUCCUAGUGCAAUAAUACUUGCAUAUAGAAGGGGAAGUAGCAUUUAAAUUUAAAAAGUGUUUUAAGAAAGUAUUGUAGUAGUCUUUUAUAUUUGUCAGAGGGUUGGGCUGCUGUUGUGUUUUAAGUAUUUAAAAAGUAUUUCCAUUACUCAAUUUCAUGACAAAAUUCCAGAAUUAUUAGUCCCAGAUUUCAGAGGACUCACCACAGGCACACUGGAAAGAAGGGAGGAGGUCUGAUAAUUUUUGUUAUGGAACCUUGAAAUAAGAAUAGCUGCAGACAGAAGAGAUGAAAUAAGAUUGAGGGAGAAGACUAGAGGUGAUGCUGUCUCUUACUCGGCAUAUACAUCUCUGAUUGACUGUACAUAUAAAUGAUUGUUUGCAUAGAGCAAGACAAAAUCUGCUAGUAACGUCUACUGAGCAGACAGUAAUUGUUUAACUAACUUUCAGGGUCACUUUAUUCCAUGCUAACAUCAGUUUCUAAAGCUAGCUGUGGCCAGGGGCACAUGAACAGAGAGGCAAUUUUUGAGACCGGAACAAAUCAUACUAUGGCAGCUGUGCAUAAAUAAAUAGAUUUAUGUUGCGAAGUGUGAGAAACAAGCACUGAAAAACAAGCAAUUGAAAUCAUGGCAACAUAUAGCCAUGAUUUAUCCAGGGGUAAAUUUACCACUGUUGGACCAGGAUUAAAGCACUUUUAUGGACUGAGUAUCCACAGCUUUUUAAAAUUCAGAUAGAUGGACUUGUCAUGGGCUAACUCAUGGUGGGUCCAUGGCAAGGUAAUUAUUACCAUGCAGACAAUAUAAAAUAUCAUGAGAGUUAAUGUUCUGGGUGAGGAUGUAGCCUUGGCAUGAAUACUGGGGGAGAUUAUUCAGUCACAAGUAUAUAUCACAGCCAAAAGUGUGUGUGCCAAAACAAGCAAUGGGAUGCUGGAUGGACAGCAGCUUACUUUGCUCCACCCAGUAAAUUCCAUCUUUCUUUCAGAAUGGAUGAGAAAGAAUGAAAUUACAACACUGGUAAGAAAGACAGGUGAAAGAAAUGAAGUGGUUCUAUUUAACAUUUACUUAGUACUUUAGAUUUAUUAAGCAGUAUUUAAAUAUUAACUAAAUAAGCUUCACAACAGCACUAUAAAGAAGAUAAGGUGCUUUCCCCAUUUCUACCCUGUUUCACAGUAUUUGGACAACUAUUCUUUUCUCUAAGGCUGUAAGUAAAGAUAGCCAGUUGUAGAUACACAACUAAUUGGAUAAUGUGCCAAACUCAUUGAAGCACCUUUAUUAAACUCAACAAGACUUGGUAAACUUAUUUUCCUUAUUCCUCUUCAUUCCAGAAUUUACUAGUCCCAGUUCUACAAAUCUUAGUAAAGGGCAAUAGUCAUUAGGAAUCAUGUCACAAAGUCAAGGUCUCAGACUAUCCCCCUUUUUCAGAGUGAGGGAGGCAGGGUCCCACCAUCAUGAAAUGUUUGAGGAUGGUGGCCAGACUGCACUUUCUUGAAAAGAGAUCAAGCAGUUCAGACAUUUGCCUUCACUCUGUGUGAACAAAAGAAACCUCCUUUAAAGCCUGAGGUCUUGAAAGACAGAUAUCUCUCCAUUUAUCAGGCAGAUUUGCUCCAUCUUCUUUAAACAGAUCCUUAGAAAUGCAUUUAAUCCUUAAAAUGGGAACUCAUUCCCCUUCUUGUGAAGUAUUUGCUCAUUUUCUGGUUCACUUCCUCCUGUCCCUGACUGGUCUUCGCCAGCCGGAAGAUUCCUUCUUGAAGCACCUCUAGCUAGAGUAAGAAAACAGCAGGAGAAAGUGCUGAAAUCUGGCAGAUGUCCUUUAGCUUAAUGAUUAGAUUUUGCUUUGUGGAGGUCAUUGUCCCUCAGGUGAACAAUGAUCACCUACGGAGAAUGACAACAAGCCCUUAAAUCAAUUUGGAGUAUGUGGGGGAAUGUGACUCCAUAGCAUGCCACCAAAACUAAUUCUUUUCUGGCUCUCAGGCAGAAAGCUGACAAGGCAUGUGGGCCUACCUGAGAUUCCCCCAUGCAUGACAUGCUUUUGUCUGUGUCCAGUGAAGCCAGAUUUCCAGAAGCUGAAUCUUUUCAUUUGAUCCUGCAACAGAGCAGAUAACAAGAUAUAAGACUAAAAUUUUACCUUGAUAUAUGGUUCUUCUGAAAUGAUUGAACAUAGUAUUGCUAGAGCCAACUAAGCUGUUUCUCAUCUAUUUUCAUUUGUGGCAAGUGUAGCCAUUGCUAUUAUGUAUGAAUGCAUCAAAGUCCCCAAAAUACAAAGAAGUUUAACUUGAUUCUCUAUUCCAUUUUAACGCUAAUGUUAACUUUACCCUGCUUAUAAAUUGCCUGUUUCCUUGGGGAAAUGCUAGACCUAAAUAUUGACUAAACUGCAGCUAAUGCUUUUAAUGCCUGCUCUAGACAAAGACACAGAAUGGUUUUUCAACCACAAACAAGCCAGUCUUCUUUUAAAAUGACAUGAAAUCAAGAUACCUAUCCAUUGCUUCCAAAUUUCAGUACUUUCCCCUCUGAUUUUUCUCAUCCUUUUGGUAAUGCUUCCAAGAAAUAUUUGGUGAUCAUUUCCUCUCCUGUAAGAUUCUGCUACCAACCUACCUUAUAGUUUAUAAAUUAAAACAUUAUAUCUCUAGUUCUAAAAUGUAAAUUCACUCAUUGGCAGGUGAAAGAUUUGCUGUAUUGUUUGAGAAUAUUCAUAUGGCAAUGAAGACCUAGAACAUUUAUCGAAACUUAGUCAGCAUUCAUAGUACCACAUGACUUCAAUCCCUGUUGAAUUUCUUCUGGCAUGUGGUGCAAAUUCCUAAAAGUGAGUGAAAAAUGUUAAUGUAGGAAUGUUUCAGCAGUGCUUUUAAACAUAAAUAUUUUGUAUAUUCAGGGCAGACACAUUACUGUAGCUGGUUGUACUAAAUUCCUUGGUGUUUGUGGCAAAAUGAUAUUUGCUUGCAUUCUGACAAAAACAUGUCUUGGAUAAAAAGAAAAAGUAAAGUAUGGUAUGGCUGAAGCUUCUCUGUGUCCAAGCAAUUUACAGCUGUAGUAAGAAUCUCUAGGUAAGAGGUCUCUUGGGAAGUAGUCUUACCACUAAAUAUGGCAGCAGCACCCCAGCAUCUAUGUUUAACAGAAAGUUGUGCCAUGGUCCGCUAAUUUAAGAAUUUUUGAUAUAGAUACUAACCUCAAGAGCGGAUUCCCAUCUCUGCAUCCUAAGUGUCGAGAUACAUUAGUCUUCAGCACUGACUCGGGUAUAUAGGUCUUGGAGAACUGAAAGGUUCAAGAUGCCUGUCUGUCUUUCCUCCUUUCCCAGUAGUCCGUGUUAACCUGUGUUAGAGGUUAAAUUUAGCAGAUUCCAUACUCAAGCAUGUAGAUGUUUUAAGUCAGCAUUUCACUAAAGAUUUUUAGGACACCUAACUGUUUCCCCACAUUGUAUAUGGAGCCCAGGAGACUAAUGCUAAUCUUGAGUUUUGAAUUCCACUAAGUGAAGUGCUGCACUUAACCACAUAAGUCCUUUGCUGGAUCUGGUCCUAAAACCAAAAUAGUGCAUUUGUAUGCUUUCUUUUCAGCUAGCCUUCCCUUCCUUGAACUUUCCUUCAUACCACCGGUACAGUGAUAGUUUUAGGAAAGGAAAUAUUAGUUCUAUUAAACCACAGUUUCUAAUAGUGGACCUGUUGUUUGGGAUGGCAGAGUGACAAAACACUCACACAGUCAGUCUCUUUGUGAACUGUAGAUCAUAAAAUAAGUAGCUACAUUUCCAUUAAAAUAUUAACAGCAGGGGUGGGGUUACAUAAUUUAAACAAGCUACCAUUAAAUCCUUCAUUUUAACCAUAGGGGAGACAGCAGUGGGAAAUACGGUGUAGAGGGAUAGAUACUAUUCAUAACUAUAAAUUAGUGUGACUAUUAGUAUGGCUUGUAUAUGAGAAAUAAAAGAGAAGUGUUGCCCGUAG